GUUCCAAGUAUAAAUUCCCUCCUGAAUUGAAGGCCUGAAAUCUCAUCAGAAAAUGGGUGGCUACUCUAACAGCCAUGCCACUAUUGCACUAGUGGUGACAUCUUGCCUGGGACAGCACUGCUUAGCAGAGGGAACGUGGACUCUGAAGUCAUAGGACUGACUUCCACCCUAACCAUUCUACCUGGGAAUUCUGCAGUCCUGAUAACAAAGUGCAGCGUGUCUUCUUACAUGUUUCUUUUCAUGCUCUCUUUAACGAGUGAGAGAGAUACCUAUGCAUACACAUGCAUGUGUAUAUCUGGAAAACAUUUCUUUACUAUCUAAUUA